rnacentral:rRNA from 1 species
CUUGUACAGGAUAGGUAGGAGCCUUUGAAACGUGAGCGCUAGCUUACGUGGAGGCGCUGGUGGGAUACUACCCUAGCUGUGUUGGCUUUCUAACCCGCACCACUUAUCGUGGUGGGAGACAGUGUCAGGCGGGCAGUUUGACUGGGGCGGUCGCCUCCUAAAAGGUAACGGAGGCGCUCAAAGGUUCCCUCAGAAUGGUUGGAAAUCAUUCAUAGAGUGUAAAGGCAUAAGGGAGCUUGACUGCGAGACCUACAAGUCGAGCAGGGUCGAAAGACGGACUUAGUGAUCCGGUG